GAGCUUCGCCAGAGAAGACAAGGGCAGAAAGCACUAUGAGUGGGGGCCCAAUGGGAGGAAGGCCCGGGGGCCGAGGAGCACCAGCGGUUCAGCAGAACAUACCCUCCACCCUUCUCCAGGACCACGAGAACCAGCGACUCUUCGAGAUGCUUGGACGAAAAUGCUUGACACUGGCCACUGCAGUUGUUCAGCUGUACCUGGCGCUGCCCCCUGGAGCUGAGCACUGGACCAAGGAGCAUUGUGGGGCUGUGUGCUUCGUGAAGGAUAACCCCCAGAAGUCCUACUUCAUCCGCCUUUACGGCCUUCAGGCUGGUCGGCUGCUCUGGGAACAGGAGCUGUACUCACAGCUUGUCUACUCCACCCCCACUCCCUUCUUCCACACCUUUGCUGGAGAUGACUGCCAAGCGGGGCUGAACUUUGCAGACGAGGAUGAGGCUCAGGCCUUCCGGGCCCUGGUGCAAGAGAAGAUACAAAAAAGGAAUCAGAGGCAAAGUGGAGUGGACAUCCAGAACCCUGACAUCACGAGUUCACGAUACCGUGGGCUCCCAGCACCUGGACCUAGCCCAGCUGAUAAGAAACGCUCAGGGAAGAAGAAGAUCAGCAAAGCUGAUAUUGGUGCACCCAGUGGAUUCAAGCAUGUCAGCCACGUGGGGUGGGACCCCCAGAAUGGAUUUGACGUGAGUAACUUCAGAGACUCUUGGACUCUACUAAACUUCCA
rnacentral:sRNA from 1 species